rnacentral:rRNA from 1 species
AUUGAACGCUGGCGGCAGGCCUAACACAUGCAAGUCGAACGAGUGGCGGACGGGUGAGUAAUGUAUGGGAAACUGCCUGAUGGAGGGGGAUAACUACUGGAAACGGUAGCUAAUACCGCAUACCAUCAGAUGUACCCAGAUGGGAUUAGCUAGUUGGGGGGGUAACGGCUCACCAAGGCGACGAUCCCUAGCUGGUCUGAGCGGAUGAACAGCCACACUGGACCUGAGACACGGUCCAGACUCCUACGGGAGGCAGCAGUGGGGAAUAUGUCACAAUGGGCGCAAGCCUGAUGCAGCCAUGCCGCUUGUAUGAAGAAGGCCUUCGGGUUGUAAAGUACUUUCAGCGGGGAGGCGUUACCCGCAGAAGAAGCACCGGCUAACUCCGUGCCAGCAGCCGCGGUAAUUC